rnacentral:lncRNA from 1 species
CUAGCUCGAUCCAAUCUUAUGUAACCUCCCUUUUAGAACUACAAAUCCAUAGGCUGUGAUUUGAUCUCAAAAUCACCAAUUGUUUCCCCAUGCACCAAACUCGUCGCAACGACCUUUGCCUUCGACAUCGUAACUAUUCGCUUCGCUCCACCAAAUAAGACACUCGACGCCUACACUUCCGAUCAACACCACAAAGUCAAAAUCUGCUUCCAACCGAAUCUAAUCUACGAGUCUUGCCGUGAAUCGUCUUUUCACCUAAAAUU